GCCAGGAGCAUGUGUCUGUCACUCUGACAGGGAAUUUGACCACCCAGGACAACAGGGCCAAGAGAAAGAAUUCCUAGAGGAAAGGAUGGCAGGAAGAAAAACAGGAACACCUGCUUACAGCCAUUUCCUACUUCUCACUCUGUGUUCUCUGGGUCCUAAGGCUGAAGAGAUUCUGCAGACAUACUUGAAAUCCAAGGAGUCUGUGACUGAUGCAAUUCUCCAGACAGACCAGACUCUCACAGAAAAGGAAAAGGAGAUUGAAGUGGAACGUGUGAAAGCAGAGUCUGCACAGGCUUCAGCAAAAAUGUUGCAGGAAAUGCAAAGAAAGAAUGAACAGAUAAUGGAACAGAAGGAGAGGAGUUAUCAGGAACACUUGAAACAACUGACUGAGAAGAUGGAGAGCGACAGGGCCCAGUUGCUGAAAGAGCAAGAGAGGACCCUCGCUCUUAAACUUCAGGAACAGGAGCGACUACUAAAAGAGGGAUUUCAAGAAGAAAGCAGAAUAAUGAAAAAUGAGAUACAGGAUCUCCAGACGAAAAUGAGACGACGAAGGACAUGCACCAU
rnacentral:sRNA from 1 species